rnacentral:lncRNA from 1 species
UAGAUAAAAGAUAAGGAUCUUUAUGCAUGACAUUACCACAUAAAGAAGCAUGUAUGAGGGUUAAAAAAGUUUAGACCAGCCCAUGGUGAUGAAUCUGAUGCAGAUGUCUAUCAUCUUAGAAGACACUUAGGCUGCAAAAGCAUAUGAACCUUUAAGAAUUACUAUCCACAACUACUUCAAUCCAUACGCCUAUCUUCUAAAGCUCUGGUAGACUUUGACUUUCCAAGAACCGCUGGCCAAUAUAAAUCAUUACUAGAAAGGCUUUUCCAAUAAGCUCUCUCUCUCUCUCUCU